rnacentral:miRNA from 1 species
GUAGUGUGCCUCCUUCCUGCUGCCUCGUUGGCCUGCAGGCGGGAGCCCCAGGGACUGGAGCAUU